GAAUGUGUUGUCAGUUUGAUUGGAUUAUAAUUUCCAUGGUUCUAUUUUUCUCUAGUAUUUUGUUAUAUUUCGCCUGUUGGGAAUCGAUGAGAAAUUGUGUAUGGUGCCAUGAUUCUAUUUCUACCAAUCAUUGCUCUAAUUGAGAAGUAUAUAGUUCUGGUCGUAUUUGUUGUCAGUGGUUUGGAAUGAUGUUAUUCUGGAUUUUUUUCUUUGAAAAAAAAUUUGGGGUCUUUCAUAUUUUUAUGAGUCUG
rnacentral:lncRNA from 1 species